UUCCUACGGGAGGCAGCAGUAGGGAAUAUUGCACAAUGGGCGAAAGCCUGAUGCAGCAACGCCGCGUGCGCGAUGAAGGCCUUCGGGUUGUAAGGCGCUUUUCGGGGAGAAGAGGAAGGACGGUAUCCCCGGAAUAAGGCUCGGCUAACUACGUG
rnacentral:rRNA from 1 species